rnacentral:tRNA from 1 species
GGCGCCAUGGCGGAGUGGUUACGCACCGGACUGCAAAUCCGUUGACCCCGGUUCGAUUCCGGGUGGCGCCUCCA